UAGGGAAUAUUGGUCAAUGGGCGAAAGCCUGAACCAGCCAUGCCGCGUGUAUGAAGAAGGCCUUCGGGUCGUAAAGUACUUUUAUGUAGGAAGAAAGGAUUCAUGCGUGAAUUUUUGACGGUACUACACGAAUAAGCACCGGCUAACUCCGUGCCAGCAGCCGCGGUAAUACGGAGGGUGCGAGCGUUGUCCGGAUUUAUUGGGUUUAAAGGGUGCGUAGGUGGAUUAAUAAGUCAGUGGUGAAAUGCCACAGCUCAACUGUGGAGCUGCCAUUGAUACUGUUAAUCUUGAGUACUGUAGGGGUAGGCGGAAUUUGUGGUGUAGCGGUGAAAUGCAUAGAUACCACAAGGAACACCAGCGGCGAAGGCGGCCUACUGGACAGAGACUGACACUGAUGCACGAAAGCGUGGGGAGCGAACAGGAUUAGAUACCCGCGUAGUCC
rnacentral:rRNA from 1 species